rnacentral:misc_RNA from 1 species
GAUGAAGAACGUAGCGAAAUGCGAUACUUGGUGUGAAUUGCAGAAUCCCGUGAACCAUCGAGUCUUUGAACGCAAGUUGCGCCCGAAGCCAUUAGGCCGAGGGCACGCCUGCCUGGGUGUCACACGUCGUUGCCCCCCCAUCUACUCCUUCGGGAUUGCGGGGGGCGGAUGAUGGCCUCCCGUGCGCCUCGCCGCGCGGUUGGCAUAAAUGCCAAGUCCUCGGCGACGCACGCCACGACAAUCGGUGGUUGCGAAACCUCGGUUGCCCGUCGUGUGCGGUCGUCGCGCAUCGAGGGCUCGAAAAAAUUGCCGGGCUCCGGCUCGGCUUUCAACGCGACCCCCAGGUCAGGCGGGGUUACCCGCUGAAUUUAAGCAUAUCAAUAAGCGGAGGA